CUUGACACGCUUGUUCUUGUCUGGUCUGAGAAACUAAGCCGGGUUAGGGCUCGGAUGGAAGACCACCUGGGACUACCAGGUCUUUUAAGU
rnacentral:rRNA from 1 species